GUCCGUGUGGUCUAGAGGCAUGAUUCCUGCUUUGGGUGCAGGAGGUGUAAGUAAUUGAAGCAUAUCCGACGACCUCGAUCUACCACGCUCACACUCACACAAGACCAUUCGUCCAUUGUCAACGUCAGCCCGGGUUCGAAUCCCGGCACGGACC